CUGCCUAGGCCGUCAUCAUCGCAUAACACACACACAUAGAAGAGGAAGAAAGGAUCUCCACCGUUGCCAGGGUCGUUGGUGAGUUCUGUGCCACCAUUAGGAUCACUGUUCUGCCACCAUUGAAGCUCGUCAGAGAAGGAGCUAUUGUCAGAAGAAGAUACUACUGUCCUUGCUCUAUACUAUUUUGUUCUGCCCCUGCUUCUGGUUUUGCAAUUGCCAAAGUCUCUGCUGCCAUGGGUAUUACCGUUGGGGUUGUUGGGAACCAACGAUGGAGCUUCCCGGAAACCCUAUUGUAAGCUAUCUCUAUUUUCAAUUCCAUUAAAUUCAUUUCCAUUUCCGAUUCCAUUGAAUUUGAACUCUCUAUUUUGUUGCAACCUUGGUUACUGCUAUGAGAAUUAUUGAUGUUGUUGUUACUGGAGUAUCAUUGGAAUUGACGUCGCUAUUAACCCGGUUAAUGCUGCCCCUAGGAUGUAUGCCUUGGUCUUUGGUCUGUGUUCUUCUGAGUACCAGAGCUGCUACUCCAUUCCCGUAUUUCUUUUGUGUAAGAUUGGUUUUGUUCUACAACCAAUAUUCUGAUUAUUGCUCCCUUGAUGAUCUGUUCUAUUCUGCCCUUGCAUUUGCUUCAGUUUCUAUUAAAUUUCCUUCCAAAGUUGCUGUUGCUGUUCCCGUGGGGGUUAUUGUUAUCACUGUCGCCAUGAAUUGAAAGAAAAGGAAAUUAUCACGAUUAGUUACGUGGACUCAGCUAACUGAGCUUUACCUUUUCAGGAACCAGAUGAAGAGGCAUAAAGAAGAGUUAUACUGAGUUUGGUUUAUAUGCUGUUGUUUUAAUUAGAUUAUUUUCUUCCCUCGUCUUUGUUAUUACAAGUUUGUAAGAGGGAUAGGAGUUGUAUGUUCUAUAUGUAUAUUAUAUUAUGAGAUAUUAUGUAACGAGUCUUGUAUAUGAAUCUA